GUCUACGGCCAUACCACCCUGAACACGCCCGAUCUUGUCUGAUCUCGGAAGCUAAGCAGGGUCGGGCCUGGUUAGUACUUGGAUGGGAGAAAUGGAACAAGUAAGAAAAGUUGCAGAGU
rnacentral:rRNA from 1 species